rnacentral:piRNA from 1 species
UCGGUAGCCUCUGUGCCUUGACC